rnacentral:rRNA from 1 species
CCUACGGGGGGCAGCAGUGAGGAAUAUUGGUCAAUGGACGAGAGUCUGAACCAGCCAAGUAGCGUGAAGGAUGACUGCCCUAUGGGUUGUAAACUUCUUUUAUAUGGGAAUAAAAUGUUCCACGUGUGGGAUUUUGUAUGUACCCUAUGAAUAAGGAUCGGCUAACUCCGUUCCAGCAGCCGCGGUAAUACGGAGGAUACGAGAGUUAUCCGGAUUUAUUGGGUUUAAAGGGAGCGUAGGUGGAUUGUUAAGUCAGUUGUGAAAGUUUGCGGCUCAACCGUAAAAUUGCAGUUGAAACUGGCAGUCUUGAGUACAGUAGAGGUGGGCGGAAUUCGUGGUGUAGCGGUGAAAUGCUUAGAUAUCACGAAGAACUCCGAUUGCGAAGGCAGUUCACUGGACUGCAACUGACACUGAGGCUCGAAAGUGUGGGUAUCAAACAGGAUUAGAUACCCCAGUAGUC